UGCGCAUGAAGGAGGAAGCGAGCAGGAGAACCCACACGUCUGAUUUUUGGCCAUGCUAUUUUUAAGUGGACUCCAAUAAUUAGAGCGGAAGAGGGGCAGAACUGACAGAGCCGAUGGAGGGAGUGUGACGAUGGAAGGGAAACAGGCAAAGUAAUCCAAUGGGGAAACAGAGUCCAGGGAGCAACGUGCAGGAGACGGUGACCGGUGUAGCGGAGUGCGUCAUUUGGCAUGGAGGAAGUGGCAAUGAACCAGCAUUGGAGUGGAGGAGAGAAUCAGGCUUUACGCUGUACUGAUUACUGAUUUGCGCGGGCUGUGCUGAUUAGCCAGCACACCAGAGCAGGAGGGGCGUGACAAUAUGUAAUAAAAGGAAGACCAGAUAAUAUUCUAUAAAUUUCAUUUCUCCAUUUGGUAUUAAUGGUAUUCUGCAUUUCUUCAAUAACAAUUCUACAGCAUAAAUUGUUAGGCUGACAGCUGCCAGCUCUGGUUAGUGCUCUCUCUCUCUCCUCCUCUCUCUUUUCUUUUGUUUCAGACUCCUGUGACUGAUUGCUGCGGCAGGUGUCCCUCGUUAAUUAUCAGGAGCAGGUGGAGGCGUGUGUGAAUCACUUGUGUCUGUUGGCUAUUUAAGGAGACGCCACACGCUGUUCUGUGCUGGAUCGUGACACUACCUGCCUGGACACUGACAUCUGUUUCCACCUUUCACCAACCUGCAGUCGACAACCCUCCGGACUUCCCUGCCGGCCGUGCCAGAACCCAGUCUGAGCAUCCAAUUGAGUAUCUUGUGGUAGAGUUCGUUGUGAGUUAGUUGGCGUUACAUUAGUUCAGCCUAGCCGUAUUUAGACACUUUAACUUUCACUUUGAGUGUUUGUUGUUCAGUAGUUAAUGUUAAAGAAUCGUUGGUUAUAGGAAGUGCUGUUUUUCAGUAUCACCUGCGUUAAACUCAGCUUUCUGUGUUUCGAGCGUCAGUUAUACCUUCAAUCAAUGACAGCAGUGUAAAUAGUGUUUAGUGCAGAGUUCCGGUUGUAGUUCCCAGUCCAAAUUUGUAGUUUUUUCUGAGAACCUUUUGCAAUAAAUCUUUAAACACA